rnacentral:lncRNA from 1 species
GGACAAUGCUCAUUAACGAGACAACCCCACAAAGAGGUUAUUAAACAGUGUUUUGAAAUACCUUAAACAAACUUCUUAUUCCGACAAAGCCCUGAAAACUUUAAAUGAUCUCACACCUUAUAGGUGAAAAAUUGCUUCAGAAGGGUUUAAGAGAGGCAUGAGUACGCCAAGUCCUUCUCUUCCUUGAGCUCCUCCGCAGUCAAAUCCAUCUUCUUCCUUGAUACUUCAUCAAUCGGAAGGCCUAACCAAACAAAAUACACAUUAGAGUAGGCACAAAUAGGGUUUAAUUAUUGAGUUUGUCAGAGCUUGUAUUUACCUUGGACAAUACUCCACUCUCCAUUGCGACAAGUUACAGGGAAGGAGUAGAUAAGUCCUGAUGGAACGUUGUAAGAGCCAUCGGAGUAUACUCCCAUGGAAACAAACGUACCCUGACCAAUCAAAUCAAAGAAAGAUCAUAUUAGAACAACUAUUAUAAACCGCACUGCAAAUAACGGGGAAGAGUUUUAUUAUAAACCUCUGGAGUUCCAAGAACCCAGUCACGGAUGUGGUCACAAGCGGAGCUAGCAGCAGAAAGCGCACUAGACAACUUCCUCGCCUUGAUGAUUGCAGCUCCACGUUGUUGAACUGUAGAGAUGAAUUCCCCGUCCAACCUACACAAUGAGCAAAUAUUUAAAUGAAAUUAGAUUCUGCUUCAAGAGAAAAGAAAGGGUCUUAAGUUCUAUGGCAUGACAUAAGUACCAUGCAUCGUCCUUGACGAGCUCACGGACAGGCUUCUCUCCAGAGGUGGUCUGCACUUUAGCAUGGUUGACAUCUGGGUACUGUGAGGAUGAGUGGUUUCCCCAGAUGAUAACGUUUUUAACAUCAGACACUGGCACGCUCAACCUCUCAGAGAUCUGACCCAAUGCCCUGUUGUGGUCAAGCCUUGUCAAACAAGAGAUGUUCUUUUCAGGGAUGGAUGGUGCAAAUUCCUUGAGGAUCAAUGCGUUGGUGUUCGCGGGGUUGGCCACAACAAGAACCUGAAAUAAAUAAAUAAAUGAAAGAAUGUCUGAGAAAGAGAGUCACAAACUAGAGCCAACAGAGAAUACAAAGCAUCUGUUACACUCGAAUGAACAGCAAAAAUUGGAUGAAAUGGCUUCAUUUUAUUAAAAAAGUGAAACAGAUCCCAUCACCUUGCAGUUUGGAGCGGCAUGCUUCUCCAAGGCAGCAGCCUGAGACUUGUAAAUAGAGACAUUCUUGGACAUCACAUCCUUCCUCUCCAUUCCUUCUUUCCUCGGGAAACCACCAACCAUAACAGCAACAUUGACUCCAGUACAUCCCUCAACGGCAUCAGUUGUAGCAACAACACCUGAUAAUAAUACACACCAAAUACUCAAUAUCUUUCCUACUUGAGCAGAACAACUUAUGGCAUGGAAUGCAAAUCUUAACAGUGGAAAAAAGAAAGUUAAAGCAACACGAAAACAAAGCUUAAAAAACUCAAACAACCUUUGAGAAGAGGGAAGGCAGCAUCGAUCAACUCCAUCUUAACACCGUUCAAAGCUUCAGCAGCAGGAGGAAUAUCCAACAUGUGGAGGAUAACAGGUUGGUCAGCACCAAGCAUGAUUCCCCUGGCAAUCAUAGGAACAAGAGCAUAUCCGAUUUGUCCUGCAUAAUCACAAUAGUUAGUUACUUCAGUAGCUAAAGUAAAAACUUAUAAACUAUAUCCAAUAAUAUAAACAAAGAAGGUUUCCAAAUCAGAGUUCAAUCCAUGAAAUAAUCCAUCCCAAAAUCAUAUAUGCAAGCAACUCAAUCAAUAGUUGGUCAACGUUGAAUCCAACCAGUAUGAAAUGUUUAUUAAUAGACGAUAAUAAAAUUAACAAAAUUAGAGCUGACUUGAGCGUUUGCGGGUAAAAUGUCUAUUUACAGAUCAAACCUCUACAGAAAGAGAACAGAGAAUGGCUAAAUUUAAGGAGAAAUACUUGAUGGUUCUUGCAUGAAGUCAGCUGAUUCAUUCAAACGCUGACUAUAAGAAUCCUAGUACUUUAGACGAAUUUCAAGCCUAGCAAACUUAAGAUCCAACAAAUACAUACUCCCAGAUCUAACGAAACAAGCGUCGACCUAUCUUUCAUCGAUCUAGGGUACAACCAAAGACUAUGCAGAGAUCUGACUGGAGUAAACAAGAGCUUUGCGAUACACUAGCCAGAGAUCUAAAACCAGAAAUAGAAGUUACACGAUCUGAUCGGAUAUAGAUUUAAAGUUAUACCUGCAGCUCCAGUGACGAGUACAC